rnacentral:rRNA from 1 species
AACGUAGGACGCAAGCGUUAUCCGGAGUUACUGGGCGUAAAGCGCGGGCAGGCGGCUCGAUGCGUCUGAUGUGAAAUCUCCUCGCUCAACGGGGAGAGGCCAUUGGAAACGGUCGAGCUGGAGGGCAGUAGAGGCAGGCGGAAUUCCGGGUGGAGUGGUGAAAUGACGUAGAGAUCCGGAGGAACACCAGAGGCGAAGGCGGCCUGCUGGGCUGCACCUGACGCUGAGCCGCGAAAGCCAGGGGAGCGAACGGG